CCCAGGAUGACCUCACUCUCAGGGCUUUUAUGAUGUCACCCAUUGUGACCUUUUCCCUGGCUGUAUUUAUUGAGGGGGCCUGAGCUGGUGUUCAGAAACCCACCUUGUCCCUGCUGGGGACUGGAGCCAGAGCCUCCACACCCUGCUCCACCUAGCCAGAGGUGAUGCUUCACCAAGACCUUAGACUGACCAGAGAUUUUCUCGUUGAUGCUUAUGGUCUAUUGUUUAUUUCAGACCCUCUGGGCUGAAGAUUUGACAACCUGCUCCUGAAUCUCCUGGUAGCCAUGGACAUGAUUUACAACUAUCUACACAUCUUUGCUGUUGGUGUUUACAAUGUUUUCCAAAUGAACAUAGAACAGAUUCCCAUCCUGGCCCAAAAUAUCUGUUCUCGGAUGUUUAUCCUCACCCUCUGGAUCCUGUGGCAGGCACUACUUAUGAUGAAGACCUGUGCUGUGACAUUCAUUGCUCUUCUGCUUCCCAUGGCUCGAGGUUUCACUCUCCAGCUUCUAAGACACCUCAGGCAUGAGCGACUAAUGUCAAUACUUAAUGGGACGCAAUGGGCCUAUUAUGGUCUGGUCUUCUUUUACCAGGAAGAUGGUUAUGAAGUAGUCCUAAAGGCCAUUCUAUACCAUCUACUCUUCACUUUGAUCAGGACAUGUCUUCGCUUAUUCUGGACUAUGAUUCACCACGGGACCAGUGUGAUGAGACACCUGCAGCAGACAGGGUUUUGGAGAAAUAAUCAACGGGCCAGAAACCCCAGACGUCAUUGUCUAGAGGAUGUCAGAUUACAGUGGCCAAGGCCUCCCCAAAUCCCGGCAGCCCAGCCUUUUCAAGCCAACCUAGCCGAACCCAAUAUGCCGCAGUUUCCAAUCAACCCAGCUGAGUGUCAUCUCCCUCACCUCCUGAAUUACAACACCUGGCAGAGGCUAUCUCUGGAACAGCAGGAAGAGGAGGAGGAGGAACAGCAGCAACAACAGCAGUGGGGGGAGGAGGAGGAGGAGGAGGAGGAGGAGGGAGGAGGAGGAGGAGGAGGAGGAGGGGGAGGAGCAGAAGCAGCAGACCCCGGAAUCACAUACUUUCCCCCACUGCUCUCUUCAGCCUAUCCCAUCACUAGCCACACCUUUCAGCGUGGGCACAUCAGAUUGGAUGAGACUACCAGGCACUACUGGUUUCACACCAGAGGGAUACCCACGAACAGCAGGGUGCUAAGUGAAGUCAAGAGGAGGCCAGCUGUCCAGUCACCAAGGCAGACUCUCUACCAGCAACUCAGAAAUGCCUGCAUUGUCACUAUUUUGUUGUUCUCAAUCUACUACGCAUACCAGUACUUUUCAGGUUACUGAAUAAAGUGACUCCUUGUGAAAUGGCUCUAAGACUCCCUGUGCUGUUUAUUUCCUAGUUGAGAGGCUGCUAGAGCAGUAGGACC
rnacentral:lncRNA from 1 species